rnacentral:rRNA from 1 species
UGCUAAUACCCGAUGUGCCGAGAGGUGAAACAUUUAUAGCCUGAGGAUGAGCUCGCGUCGGAUUAGCUAGUUGGUGGGGUAAAAGCCUACCAAGGCGACGAUCAGUAGCUGGUAUGAGAGGAUGAUCAGCCACACUGGGAAUGAGACACGGCCCAGACUCGUACGGGAGGCAGCAGUGGGGAAUUUUCCGCAAUGGGCGCAAGCCUGACGGAGCAAGACCGCGUGCGGGAGGACGGCCUAUUGGUUGUAAACCGCUUUUGAUAGGGAAGAAGUUCUGACGGUACCUAUCGAAUCAGCAUCGGCUAACUCCGUGCCAGCAGCCGCGGUAAUACGGAGGAUGCAAGCGUUAUCCGGAUAUUAUUGGGCGUAAAGCGUCCGUAGGUGGUUGUUCAAGUCUGCUGUUAAAGCGUGCGGCUUAACCUGCCUACCACGCACGUGGAAACUCGGGCAACUAGAGUGCGGUAGGGGUCAGGGGAAUUCCCAUGUGUAGCGGUGAAAUGCGUAGAUAUUGGUGUAAGAACACCUGGUGGCGAAAGCUGCCUGACUGGACCCGCACUGACACUGAGGGACGAAAGCUAGGGGAGCG